GACGAACGCUGGCGGCGUGCUUAACACAUGCAAGUCGAACGGAAAGGCCCUGCUUUUGUGGGGUGCUCGAGUGGCGAACGGGUGAGUAACACGUGAGUAACCUGCCCUUGACUUUGGGAUAACUUCAGGAAACUGGGGCUAAUACCGGAUAGGAGCUCCUGCUACAUGGUGGGGGUUGGAAAGUUUCGGCGGUUGGGGAUGGACUCGCGGCUUAUCAGCUUGUUGGUGGGGUAGUGGCUUACCAAGGCUUUGACGGGUAGCCGGCCUGAGAGGGUGACCGGCCACAUUGGGACUGAGAUACGGCCCAGACUCCUACGGGAGGCAGCAGUGGGGAAUAUUGCACAAUGGGCGGAAGCCUGAUGCAGCAACGCCGCGUGCGGGAUGACGGCCUUCGGGUUGUAAACCGCUUUCGCCUGUGACGAAGCGUGAGUGACGGUAAUGGGUAAAGAAGCACCGGCUAACUACGUGCCAGCAGCCGCGGUGAUACGUAGGGUGCGAGCGUUGUCCGGAUUUAUUGCGCGUAAAGGGCUCGUAGGUGGUUGAUCGCGUCGGAAGUGUAAUCUUGGGGCUUAACCCUGAGCGUGCUUUCGAUACGGGUUGACUUGAGGAAGGUAGGGGAGAAUGGAAUUCCUGGUGGAGCGGUGGAAUGCGCAGAUAUCAGGAGGAACACCAGUGGCGAAGGCGGUUCUCUGGGCCUUUCCUGACGCUGAGGAGCGAAAACCUGGGGGACGAAACAGGCUUAGAUACCCUGGUAGUCCCCGCUUGUAACGGUGGGUACUAGGUGGGGGGUCCAUUCCCACGGGUUCCUUGCCGUAGCUAACGCUUUAAAUACCCCGCCCUGGGGAAUAACGGCCGCCACGCUUAAAACCCAAAGGAAUUGACGGGGUCCCCCCACAAGCGGGCGGAACCUGGCGGAUUAUUUCGAUGCAACGCGUAGAACCUUACAAGGGUUAGACAUGAAUCGGCAGUGCUCAGAAAUGGGUGUACCUGCGUAGGCGUCGGUUCACAGGUGGCGCAUGCCAGUCGUCACCUCGUGUCGUGAGAUGGUGGGUUAAGUAGUGCAGUGAGCCCAAGCGUCGAUCCCUGUUGCCAGCACGUUAUCGUGGGAACUCAGUGGAGACCGCCGGGGUCAACUCGCAGGAAGGAGGGGGUGAGGUCAAGUCAUCAUGCCCCUUAUCUCCAGGUCCACCCGCACGCUACAAUGGCUGGUACAGAGAGUGACGAGCCUGUGAGGGUGAGCGAAUCUCGGAAAGCCGGUCUCAGUUCGGCUUGGGGUGUGCAGCUCGACCUCACGAACGUCGGAGUCGCGAGUAAUCGCAGAUCAGCACCGCUGCGGUGCAUACGUUCCGGGGGCU
rnacentral:rRNA from 1 species